rnacentral:rRNA from 1 species
GUCCUAUUGUAAUAAUUUAUUUUAGGUCUGGCCUGCUCAAUGAUUUAUUUUAGAUUUAAUAGCCGCAGUAUUUUGACUGUGCGAAGGUAGCAUAAUCAUUUGUCUUUUAAUUGAAGGCUUGUAUGAAGGGCUUGAUGAGAUAUCCGCUUUCUUUAUAUUAUAUUUUAUUUAAUUUAAUUUUUAAGUUAAAAAGCUUAAAUUUAUUUAUAGGACGAGAAGACCCUAUAGAAUUUUAUUUAUAUUUUAUUUAUUUAUUGAUUUGGUUAUUAUUCAUAUGAUAAAUAAUUUUGAAUUUUGUUGGGGCGACAGGGAAAUUUUAUUAACUUUCUUUAUUUAUAUUUUAUUUAUUUAUAUGUUAAUGAUCCUUUAUUAGGAUAAUAAGAUUAAAUUACCUUAGGGAUAACAGCGUAAUUUCUUUGGAGAGUUCUUAUCGAUAAAGUAGUUUGCGACCUCGAUGUUGGAUUAAAAUUAGUUUUAAGUGCAGCAGCUUAAUUACUAGGUCUGUUCGACCUUUAAUAUUUUACA